UAGCUUUUUGGAAGGAAAAAUGGUUAGGAAUGGUACCGUUAAGUGAAUUGUAUCCAUCUUUGUUUCAAAAAUCAACUCAUAAAGAUGCUUGCAUUUCAAAUAUGGGGAUAUGGAAUAACAAUAUGUGGUCUUGGAAACUCAAUUGGAUGGAAGCACUUGAUGAUGCAGAUAUUGAAUCCUUCAAUGAAUUGCAUCAAUUGCUUGAACAAGUUCGGCCUAACAGAGCUUCUAGCGACAGGCGAAGAUGGUCAUCAAAUUCUGAUUGUUCUUUUUCCGUUCGAUCAGCGUACAUGGUUUUGCAGGAC
rnacentral:lncRNA from 1 species